rnacentral:rRNA from 1 species
UACAGAGGGGGGCAAGCGUUGUUCGGAAUUACUGGGCGUAAAGGGCGCGUAGGCGGCCUUCUAAGUCGAACGUGAAAUCCCCGGGCUCAACCCGGGAACUGCGUCCGAUACUGGAAGGCUUGAAUCCGGGAGAGGGAUGUGGAAUUCCGAGGUGUAGCGGUGAAAUGCGCAGAUAUCAGGAGGAACACCGGUGGCGAAGGCGGUUCUCUGGGCAUUACCUGACGCUGAGGAGCGAAAGUGUGGGGAGCGAACAGG